rnacentral:rRNA from 1 species
AUUGAACGCUGGCGGCAUGCUUUACACAUGCAAGUCGAACGGCAGCAUGGGUGCUUGCACCUGAUGGCGAGUGGCGAACGGGUGAGUAAUGUAUCGGAACAUAUCCGCAAGUGGGGGAUAACGUAGCGAAAGUUACGCUAAUACCGCAUAUACCCGGAGGGGGAAAGGAGGGGAUCGCAAGACCUUUCGCUUAAGGAGUGGCCGAUAUCAGAUUAGCUAGUUGGUGAGGUAAAGGCUCACCAAGGCGACGAUCUGUAGCGGGUCUGAGAGGAUGAUCCGCCACACUGGGACUGAGACACGGCCCAGACUCCUACGGGAGGCAGCAGUGGGGAAUUUUGGACAAUGGGCGCAAGCCUGAUCCAGCCAUGCCGCGUGAGUGAAGAAGGCCUUCGGGUUGUAAAGCUCUUUCAGCCGGAAAAAAAUCGCUUCACCUAAUACGUGGAGUGGAUGAUGGUACCGGAAGAAGAAGCACCGGCUAACUACGUGCCAGCCGCCGCCGUAA